rnacentral:lncRNA from 1 species
GAGCGCCGCCGCUGGAGAAGACCGACUCUCGGCCAGAGCCAGCCCGAGGCGACCGGGCCUGGCUGGCUACUUCCCUCUCCAGCCUCUGCCCCCGCCCCCGCCGUCGCAGACACUGUCCAAGCGGGCGCGGAGGAACGCUAGGUCCCUUGGCCCUGCAGGAUCUGGCUGGGCCCGGAUCCGUGGCACUGGAGGUUCCCCAGGAAGCCAUGAUACUCUCCUUUCCACUGUGGUUUUGGGAGCGUGAAGGCAUUGCUUACACCUUAGAUCUGGUUCACUGUAUGUAGGCUGGGAGUAUCUGCUUACUGCUUGGCGUGGUUUCCUCUGGAGCAUCAGGAAUAAGACUGAGGACUCUUGCAGUGGACCAUGAGUCGGUAAUGCCCACUGAGGACCUCUGGGAGCCAUGUCAGACGAAUCUGCCUCAGGGAGCGAUCCAGACCUGGACCCGGACGU